GAUGCUAAAAUUCCAUUUCCUGAUGGUCACGUGAACACUCUCAAUAGGGUGUGUCAUCUGCCUAGGGAUAACCUGAACCUCUUGGGAAGAUUAGGAUCUAUUAAUCUGGGAGAAUCUCUUCACAGCACAGACUUUCAAAGAUGUGUGUUCCCAUCUCCAGUGGCAACAGACGUGCCUGGGUUUCCUCUUGCCCUCUGUCCCACGCGUGGCUGGUGGGAUGGAGGAAGCGUUUGAUGAAGUGAUCUGUAGUCUCUGUCGCUGCUCUCUUGGGUUUGGUAGCACAAUCUUAUUCCUAAUUUCUGGUUUCUUUAGGGAGAAGGACAGAGAGCAGUGAAUUAACAUUCGGUGACACACCUUGUGGCUCGGAGAUCCCAGGAACAGUGUGAAGAUGUGGCUUCUGAAGUCUGACCCUGACGGUUUCCUGUGGGUGGGCAGGUGGUCUGUUCCACAUGAUGAGUUGUUGGAAAGAACUUAUAUGAAUUAUUGUAUUCUGCGUUGCAUAUAUAAAUACUUAAGUCUGUGCUUAAUAAUAUCCUUGAUGUAAAAAUCCUAUGAACACAUGAACUGCUAAAUCAGCCUUUCAGAUAAGUUCAAUGGGCUUGUCAUCCCACAGACAGUUUUGAACAGCCUGCCCUCUCUCCAGGCUACAAAACUUGUAUCACAGAGACAGUAAAACUAAUGAAAAACAAA